GAUGAACGCUGGCGGCGUGCCUAAUACAUGCAAGUCGAACGAAGAUCUAGCUUGCUAGAUCUUAGUGGCGAACGGGUGAGUAAUACAUAAAUAAUCUGCCCAUAUGACUGGGAUAACUAUUGGAAACGAUAGCUAAUACCGGAUAGGUUGAUCGGAGGCAUCUCUGAUGAAUUAAAGUAGGAUUUCUACACAAAUGGAUGAGUUUAUGGCGCAUUAGUUAGUUGGUGGGGUAACGGCCUACCAAGACGAUGAUGCGUAGCCGACCUGAGAGGGUGACCGGCCACACUGGGACUGAGACACGGCGCAGACUCCUACGGGAGGCAGCAGUAGGGAAUUUUCGGCAAUGGGCGCAAGCCUGACCGAGCAACGCCGCGUGAGUGAUUAAGGCCUUCGGGUUGUAAAGCUCUGUUGUAAGGGAAGAACAUUCAGGAUAGGAAAUUAUCUUGAACUGACGGUACCUUACCAGAAAGCCACGGCUAACUACGUGCCAGCCGCCGCCGUAACAC
rnacentral:rRNA from 1 species